GACAGCGGGUGCAACCGUUGUUCGGAAUUACUGGGCGUAAAGCGCGUGUAGGCAGCUCGGAAAGUCGGAUGUGAAAGCCCUGGGCUCAACCUAGGAAGUGCAUUCGAAACUUCCGAGCUUGAGUGCUGGAGAGGAAGGCGGAAUUCUCGGUGUAGAGGUGAAAUUCGUAGAUAUCGAGAGGAACACCGGUGGCGAAGGCGGCCUUCUGGACAGUAACUGACGCUGAGACGCGAAAGCGUGGGGAGCAAACAGG
rnacentral:rRNA from 1 species